rnacentral:lncRNA from 10 species
GGAAAAGCAUGUGCUUGGAGGAAUUUGGGAUGGCCUGAGCUCAGGUUGGGUAGGAGAAGCAUGGAGAGAGGAGGCAAAGGGAAGGUCACAAAGGAGGGAGCCAGAAAGGGCUCAGAAGGCGUUUGGCAUAGACUGCGGCCAGACUUGACAGGAUGAGUGAGCAGGGCUCCAGACAUUCAGACACGCAGAGGUCUUACUAGCCCGCCACCGCCACCGCCGCCGCCGCCACCACCGCCACCGCCACCGCCACCGUCACCGCCACCGCCAUCACCACCGCCACCACCACCACCACCACCAGAGAGAAAUAAGAGGCCUGGGAGACAUACGUGGGCCACUCCAACCCCAAUCUUCUCACUCCUCUGGGAAUUCCCCACCAUCUAAAGACCAAAAGACCAGAGUCUGAUGGAAUUUCCACCUGUCCAUAGCAAGACAAGAAAAAUAUAGACAUGGGCUACAUUUUCACAAAGCUCAAUAUCUUUUAUUAAAAGAUCUGUCCUCUCUUCUGAUAUUAUGUCCUUCUUAUGUUUUUGGUGGUAAAGAUUCCCUUUUAAAAGAUGGAUAAUGGGGAUUUUUCUUCUGAUUGUUUUGGUGUUUUUUUGUUUGUUUGUUUUGUUUUUGUAAUGUUCUUACCUGGUACAAUAAAAAGCUUCUGUUGAUUCCAAAAACAAUU